AAGAAGAACGCAGAGAAAUGCGAUAAGUAAUGUGAAUUGCAGAAUUCAGCGAAUCAUCGAGUCUUUGAACGCACAUUGCGCCCUAUGGCUAUUCCGUAGGGCAUGCCAGUCUCAGCGUCAGCAGAAACCCAUCAGGCCAGGCUUUUAAUGUCAGGCCUGGAUUUUGUCAGAGAGGCAUGGAGGCGACAGCCCUCAUGCCCUCUGUAAAGCAAUGGAUAUCUUGGAGAUUUGUUGUCAUCCCAGCGUGAUAGAAAAUUUCGUUCGUUGGGCAAAAUGAUUCUUCAAAAAGGUCCAGAAAGCCCCAUUUUUCUAAGAGACUUGACCUGAGAU
rnacentral:rRNA from 1 species